UACAGAGGGUGCAAGCGUUAAUCGGAUUUACUGGGCGUAAAGCGUGCGUAGGCGGCUCGCUAAGUCGGUUGUGAAAUCCCUGGGCUUAACCUGGGAACUGCAGUCGAUACUGGCGGACUAGAGUACGGUAGAGGGUGGCGGAACUCCGGGUGUAGCGGUGAAAUGCGUAGAUAUCCGGAAGAACACCGAUGGCGAAGGCAACCACCUGGGCCUGUACUGACGCUCAGGCACGAAAGCGUGGGGAGCAAACAGG
rnacentral:rRNA from 1 species